UAAAUUAACUGAUUCCACGGAGGCACAUAGCAACUUUACUUUUUGAUCCACCGCCCUUCGCGACAGAAAACACCGGAGAAAUCCAUUUUCUGCACUGAAUUUCCCUUAGGCAUCGGAAAAAUGGCGAGCUAUCUGCAACGUCUGGCGAGCCACUCUCGUGUGGCCUACGGAUUUACCAUCACUCCAUUUUCGAGAGCAUUCUCUACAGAAGACGCGUUGGUCGAAAUUAAACCCGGCCAGGUCGGCUUGCUAUCUGGCAUCCCCGAAGAACACCUUCGCCGAAAGGUUUUGAUUUAUUCCCCUGCUCGAACUGCUAGCCAACAAGGAUCAGGAAAGGUUGGGAUGUGGAAAAUCGAUUUCAUGUCCACUCAGAAAUGGGAAAAUCCGUUGAUGGGUUGGACAUCUACAGGAGACCCAUAUGCCAAUGUUGGUGAUUCUGCACUAAGUUUUGACAGUGAAGAAGCAGCAAUAGCAUUUGCCAAAAAGCAUGGUUGGGAUUACAUGGUAGGGCUGUUUUUAUUUUGUUCUCUUGCAGACAAAGUUGUCCAAAUCAUUUGUCAUUACCAGCUGGACCCCUUUUCUGAGGGGAAAUUGUAUCUUCAUUGUUUGUUUAUUUUGAAUUGGAUUACUUUCAUUUGGUCGAGGUGAACAAAUAGGGAUAUAAUCUGAAGUUCUAUAUAGAUUGAUUUCUGUGGCGAUUCAUGAAGUAACCAAAAUAAAGAUGCCAUGCCCUUAUCGUCACGUGAACAGCUGAGUUUUUUUGGCCUUUUUCCCUUUUGUUUAUUAUAUUCAUAAUCAAGCAAGAGCUAUUGAUUGGGAAGCAUGUCCCCUAUCACUAUCAUUAUUUGAACUAUCUGUUUCAAUUUACUAGCUCAUGCAUUAUUAUUUCCUACAUUUGGAUUCAAAUAAGAAUGCAGCCCUCAAUUAUAUAUCACUUCUGUCUUACAGGUUAAGAAGCGUCAAACACCACUACUGAAGCCCAAGUCGUACGCAGACAACUUCAAAUGGAAGGGCCCACCCAAGGAGAACUGAUUUGGUCAAGGCAGAUGAGAGGACAGAAGCAGCCCGUGGCAUCCUUUAUCAAGCUUUAGUGGAGUUACGUCUACAAGAUAAUGAGUCUCUAAUCAUGUGUUCAUGCAUUUUAACAAUAAAGUGAACUUUGGUUCUGGCUUGUGUUCUUUCACUGCACUGUGUUGUACCAAAUUCUCACAUAUUCAGGGUUUAAGAUCUAUUCCCAGCUUGUUGAAAAUGUUUAAGAAUAGUUUGAGCGUCCUGUGUAUAUUAGCCAAUGUGAUUUUGAACAACGCAGUUUAGCUUGGGAUAUGGCUCUUUUUGUUAAA